AGUGAACGCUGGCGGUAGGCCUAACACAUGCAAGUCGAACGGCAGCACAGUAUGCUCUUGCUCUUACGGGUGGCGAGUGGCGGACGGGUGAGGCAUACAUCGUCAUCUACUUUUUCGUGGGGGAUAACGUAGGGAAAAUUAUGCUACUACCUCAUACGACUUAAGGGUAAAAGCAGGGUAUAUUCAGACCUUUCCCGCUUUAAUGAGCCGAUGUCCGUUUUGCUAGUUGGCGGGUUAAAGGCCCACCAAGGCGACGAUCCGUAGCUGGUCUGAGAGGAUGAUCAGCAACAUUGGAACUGAGACACGGCCCAAAUUCCUCCGGGAGGCACCAGUGGGGAAUAUUGGACAAGGGGGGAAAGCCGGAUCCAGCCAUACCGGGGGGUUGAAGAAGUCCUUCGGGUGGUAAAGCCCGUUUGUUGGGAAAGAAAAGCAGCAGGUUAAAACCCUCCUGUACUGACGGUACCCAAAGAAAAAGCACCGGCUAACUUCGUG
rnacentral:rRNA from 1 species